CUUGGAGGAGCCAAACGGCGGAAGAAGAAGGACCUGCUCCUCCCUCAGUCGGAUGAAUCUUCGAUCAUGUUGUACUCCGUCAUGUUUCUUAGAAGAUGAUGGAAUGGGAGUUCUAAAGCCGAUCGAAAUCCUUUGGAAGAACCAAAAGAAGGGCGAAGUAGGAUCUCUUCCACUUUCCUCUUCAACCAGAUUAUUAAUUUUGCAUGAGUUUCUGUCACUGGAGGGAGGCCGCUGCAUUUUGACUCACUGGAGGCCGCAUUUCAAAUGAGUAAAGAAUUUCUCGUUAAGCCGAAGGAAAAUGAAGCGAGAAUGCAUUCGGAGAUUUUACAUGUAUUCUGCAAGACCUUGCUGAGAUACCCGUUAGCCGGAGAUGAAAUUUUCUUAGUGUUAAACAAUUGUCUACAGUGGUUGUAGCCAGAGAAUGAAUGCGAUUUCUAAUUUACACAA